UACGUAGGGUGCAAGCGUUGUCCGGAAUUAUUGGGCGUAAAGAGCUCGUAGGCGGUUUGUCGCGUCUGCUGUGAAAACUCGGGGCUUAACCCCGGGCCUGCAGUGGGUACGGGCAGACUAGAGUGCGGUAGGGGAGACUGGAAUUCCUGGUGUAGCGGUGAAAUGCGCAGAUAUCAGGAGGAACACCGGUGGCGAAGGCGGGUCUCUGGGCCGAUACUGACGCUGAGGAGCGAAAGCAUGGGUAGCGAACAGG
rnacentral:rRNA from 1 species